CUCCUACGGGAGGCAGCAGUACGGAAUAUUGCACAAUGGAGGAAACUCUGAUGCAGCGACGCCGCGUGAGUGAUGAACGCCUUCGGGUCGUAAAGCUCUGUCGCAGGGGAAUAACACAAUGAAUGUACCCUGUAAGAAAGGAUCGGCUAACUUCGUGCCAGCAGCCGCGGUAGCA
rnacentral:rRNA from 1 species